CAGCACCUCAAGUGGUCAGGAUGAUUAUUGGGCCUAAAGCAUCCGUAGCCGGCGCUGUAAGUUUUCGGUUAAAUCUGUACGCUCAACGUACAGGCUGCCGGGAAUACUGCAGAUCUAGGGAGUGGGAGAGGUAGACGGUACUCGGUAGGAAGGGGUAAAAUCCUUUGAUCUAUUGAUGACCACCUGUGGCGAAGGCGGUCUACCAGAACACGUCCGACGGUGAGGGAUGAAAGCUGGGGGAGCAAACCGGAUUAGAUACCCGAGUAGUCC
rnacentral:rRNA from 1 species